GCCCUAGUAGCUUAACUACAAAGCACUGGUUUUGUAAUCCAGAGACUGAAGAUUAGAAUUCUUCCUAGCGCC
rnacentral:tRNA from 1 species